GUACUCGCUUCGGCAGUACAUAUACUAAAAUUGGAACGAUACAGAGAAGAUUAGCAAACUAAAAAAUAAAUUAAAAACACGCGAUUUUA
rnacentral:snRNA from 13 species